rnacentral:lncRNA from 1 species
UAUGUAUAUAUCCAUAUUAAAUAAAUGAAAUUAUUUCAUUCAUUACACGUAUCGUAAUUGUAAUUGAAGAUAAUUCAACAGCCUUGAGCCCAAAAGGAUAGUUUGAUUUGAGUGAAGCCUAGACCGUUGAUGAUUUAGCUCCAACUCCAACUCAAACUGAAGCCCAAUUGAAGAUGGAUUGAAGUCCUUGAGGUUAGGAUUCUGGGUUUUAUCCAAAAAUUUUCUUUCUGAUCCUCUUCCUUUCCUCUUCUCCCCCUCCCGAUGGCAUCCUUUUUAUCCGCUUUCCAUCAUCUCAGGUCUUCCCUUUGUCCGAGAAACAUCGACAAACGCCUAACUUUUCUCUUCCCUUUUUCCUUUAC